CCCUACAUGCUAGUCACUGUACUAAGUGCUUUAUAUGUAUUGUUACUUUUAAUCCACAUUAUACUCUUGUGAAGUGGUAGUGAAGAUCCAUGUCCCUGAAGGUAUUCAAGCCCAAAAACCAUCUGUUGGUAACAUUAUUGCCAGGCGCAUUGGCUCACACCUGUAAUCUCAGCAGUUUUGGGAGGCUGAGGAGAGUAGAUCACCUGAGCUCAGGAGUUUGAGAUCAGCUUAUAUAGAUGGGGAAACUCCCACCUCCCUAAGCUAAGAGGCGUUCUAUCACAGUGUGUAUUUUCAUCACGAGCACACAUUUUUAUUUACCUUUCCUCUUAUGAACUGUGGACUUCUUACAAGAUCUCAUUAGCAAUGUGGGCUUUCUCAUGUCCCUGUGGCUCCGUGGAUGUUCCCAAGCUUACUGGUUUUGGAGUCUUGCACAGCACUUUUGGAAGCCCAGUUGUGCAGGUGCAUGGAAGAAAUGUGAUGAAAUGAGUUGAAGCUCUCCCAAGGAGAAGAGAAGGCCCCCUGGAUGUUGUUGCUACUGCCUCCUUAACGUGAAGACAAUGAGGAUGAAGACUUUUAUGAUGAGCCACUUCCACUAAACGAAUAGCUGGAGUGCAGUGGUGCCCAGGCUGGAGUGCAGAUCAUGGCUCACUGCAGCCUCAACCUUCUGGGCUCAAGAGAUCCGCCACCUCAGCCUCUGGAGUAGCAGGGACUACAG